UAAAUAUUUUGUUUAGGAACAGUUUUGAGAAAAACCUGUUGUAUAAUACUCAAUUAUAACCAAUUUUACUGUGGAAAAUUACUUUUUUUCCCCAACUGAUCCCUGUAUGAGGUUUCUAAACCCAUUCAUUCAGAUCAGCUAAAAUGUAAACUGAUAUCUACAUAAAACGGUUUGAGGUUCUACCAGUUCUUUCUCUCAUUGUAAGAAUCUUGUCACUUUGACUGAGAGAGGUCAUGUGUCAGCACAGUCAUGUUUAUUUGGAUUAGUGGCUGUUCUUCCACCAACAAGAAACUUGUAAAUGCUUUUAUGUUCUUGGCAGUUGUAAGGGCAUGAUGACUAAGCUUCACAUGUUUCUAUUAAUACAAAGUUGGCUGUCAUUGAUAUCAAUACUUGCUGUUGCAUAAAGCAAGAAAUACUUUAGAUAACCACUUAAAAUUAGUAGAAACUUCUCAAAUGCAUGUUUCAGUAUAGAUUUGGUUUUAAAAGUUUGCAGUUUUACAGUGCCAAGGAAGCCUUUUUUCUGUCCAGACAUGAACAGCUUGCUUGUUAUUUCGUUAUUUGCCAAUUGCAGUGGAAAUGAUGCAGCACAAAAAACUGCUGACUGAAGAGUCAGUUGUAUUUUCUAAGCACUUUCUGCUUUUGAAAGAACACUGUAGAUUAUCACCAGUGGUGCAGUUGUUUGAAUCCAACUUCUGCCAAGUUUUUCCGCUGAUGAUGUUGGUGGUGGUGCAAGGGGUGGGAAGAGUGAGACAAACAACCAUGCAGACUCCAAAGUCAGUGAGGAAAGGGAGGAGAAGGUGUGCUGGAGCAGAGACUCCUCUGCAUUCUACAGAGAGGACUGGACAAGCUGAGAUUUAUUUGCAUUUUGCUAAAGACCCUGCAUCAGGGGCAGUGACUCACUCAUUAAAGAUCCCAUGCCAGGGGCAGUGACUAUGGCUGGAGGAGGCUGUAUCUUGUGUGAGGGACCCCAUAUUCAUAGAAGGUGUAACUAUGGGGAGGAACCCAUGACAAAGCAGCUCAUUAAAACUAUGCCCAGAAGAGGCCUCGUCCAGAGGGAGGGACCAUGUAUCUGCAGAAGCUGCAACCAUGGUGAAGAAUCCACACCAGAGAUACUCACCAAGGACUGUGUCCCGUGUGAGGGACCCUGUAUCGGCAGAAGCUGCAGCUGUUGGGAACAACCCAGACCAGAAAAGUUCAUUAAGGACUGUGUCCCGGGGGAGGAACCCCGUGUUGGAGCAGGUGAAGAAUGCCAGGAGUCAUCCUCAUCUGAGCAGAGAGAAGCGGCAGAGCCCAUCUCUAUCUGACAGAAGAUUGAACAGCUCUAAGAAAAAUCACAAUGAAAUGGUUUAAUUCAUGAAAAGGAACAAGGAACAAAAGUUCUAGCAGAAAUAACAAGUAACAGAAAAAAUCACUCCUGAGACUGUUUAUACAUAGUAUUAAAAUUAAACACUUAUCCUUUAUCAAAAUGGACUGUUGGUUCAUACCAAUAACACAUGGAUAAACUGCACACAGAUUUUCCAGAAAUAAUUCAUCAGAAGGAGAGAUGAAAUUGGAGCUGACUUCACAGAGUGCAUAGCUCAGCUUUAAAGAAAAUUAGUAACAAGACCCAGGAAGGAAUCACAUGGAAUAACAACUGAAAAAAUUGGCAAUCAAGAUCAGCUUGUCAGCUGUUCUUAGUGAAUGGACAAAGUGAGCUGCAGAAUAUUAAAAACGCUGUGUGCUACCACCAGUAAGCUAUGUGUCUCCAGGAUUUCCAAUUAUCAUGCUUCAGACCAGAAGCAGUAGAGACAGCAUUUCUUCGGGGUUUUUUUCAAGUAUUUUUCUUUCACAGACUAUGUCUAGAUGUUUGAUAAUUUUGUGUUUGAACAUGACGUCUUCCUCCAUCACAGUUUACAAUGACCAAAGGAAACAUAUUUACAGCAUGGGAGAAUCCAACUGCGAGAUGAAAUGACAAGCAAGAUUGUCUCUGGUCAUAUAUGCCUGACUGAAGUACGCAUUUGUGGGGGGAAAGCAAUCUGUGGGCCAAACAGUCACCAGUGCACUGAAGCUCUUGGGUUAAGGAAUGCAACUGGACCAAGACCCAGCUCAAGCUGCUGGAACAAAGUGAUCAAGAUGCAAGAUGCACCUCACAGCAUUAGUCCUCCCUUGCUAUUAAGCGCUGUGAGGACCUGUUUAGCUCACUGACAGGCUGCUUGUCAGGAAGGCCCCAACCCAGUGCGCAGUUCAGUGUGUAAACACUGCAAACACGUAAUUAAAUUCCAGUGAACUUGUAACAGUAAAGUUUCAAGCUGAGGUGCUGGCGUCUCUGGCCUUGAUCCAGUAAAACAUUUCAGUGCAUGCGUAAAACUUUACCACUAUUGCUAAAUCAGUGGGAACUACUCAUCACUUGAAGUUGGGUAUGUGUUCAAGAGAUUUGUUUGAUGUGGCCACAGUGCUCCACUGUAAGUGCUAUGUUGAACUAGGGCCUAAAUCCGGUUUACCAUGUGGUACCUCCUUGGCAUUGCUGAUUACCUACCAGUCAGCCUUGUUCACUUAGAUGUGGACACCAUCAUUUCGGAAGCGAUGUUAAGCAAUCUGAAAUGCUACUAUCUCAUUAUAGAAAUUUCAGUGAUGAUUCUCUUUUGGACAGUAAUGUAGUGGCAGAUUUGCAUCAGGGCACUCUGGCAGUCAAACUGUGAAUUGAAAGUCUCUUGAAUACAAAUUACAGGAUUAGGAGAAUAUCAUAAACAUCUGAGAACACUGCACACACAAACAUAUUCAAAGGAUACACAGUAAAAAAUUACUAGUAAAAAUAUUGUCCACUGCAUUUGGUAAAAUCCUGCUUAUGUUUUCUUCCACCUUCUUGCUUUAUCUUUAAAUAUAAUGUAACUAGGAUUUUGUCUCUUGCCAGGUUUCGGCCAAGUGACAAAACAUAAACCUCUUUUCAUUCAUAAAGGGGGACUUCUAGAACACCUGAAGUAGAAAAGCAAACUUAUUAGCCUGCUUUUUCUGCUCUUUUUUCUUCCAAAACAUUCUAGGAACUCACAUUUUCCAAAACCGUGGUUGUUCAAAUGAACUGUGGGGUAUGCAAGAGCCACCAAAUUCACUGCUGGCAAAACAAUCCUAAUAUUCCAGCACAACCACUUUGGGUCAUUGAAACUUGAACUGUGGCUGGAACACUGCCUGUGCAUUAGGGCGCUCUUCCGAGGUCUAACACUUCCUGUGUUCAGAUCACUUCACCUAAAUACAAAGAGGAAAAUAAGAUAACACUUGUGUUUUCUUUUAUAAAUGUAACACAUGAACACCAGGCUGUAUGAGAUUUAAGGCAUAUUCAAAUUUGCCAUCAAAAAAGAGGUACAUUAGUUGGUUGUUCUGAGUUAUUUAAAGCAUAAUUGAUUCUUUUUGUAACAUUAAGUAAAUACUUUUUACAUAAAGUAUCUGCAAGUUAGUACGGUCCAGUGCUCUGAAAGAGUGGGUAAAGCCAUAUAAGCCAGAUUUCCACACACAUAAAUGCAACUGGACUCAACUGAAGUACUUUGGACAAAUAAAGACAUUAUAAUAUAAUUUGUAAGUAUUAUGAAAUGUUUCAACUUCUAUAGGAGGAUGUCAGAACUCAUUUAACUUGGGUGUUGAUGUUGUCCAAUGUAUUUUUGAAAACUACACCUUUGUGCAAACAUCUCUAGUUUCUUUAAAAUAUUGACUGUCACUCUUUUCGUAGUUUCAGAUGUGAUCAGGAGGUCAGAGAUUAGAAUACUAUCCUGUACCCAGCAAUAUAAAGAAUCAGUAGCUACAAAUAUUUAAAUAAAGAAAACUCCACUGGGACAAACGUAAUUGUAUACCCAAAACAUUUCCUGAGGUGUCUCUGUCUGCUUUGCAAUGAAAGUGGUAGAUGUCACGUUACCCAGCAGAGGGAGCUCAUAAAGCCAACUGUAAGGGUAUCUUUUACAGGCGAAAACUAAUGAGAGCUAUUUAAAGUGUGAUAAAUACAUUUAAGCACAUUUCCAGCAGUCAGUGCAUAGCUGGAUGUAAUUUAUAUUGACUGGGAACUAUGA